rnacentral:rRNA from 1 species
UACGUAGGGUGCGAGCGUUAAUCGGAAUUACUGGGCGUAAAGCGUGCGCAGGCGGUUCGUUGUGUCCGAUGUGAAAGCCCCGGGCUUAACCUGGGAAUGGCAUUGGAAACUGGCGAGCUUGAGUGCGGCAGAGGGGGGUGGAAUUCCGCGUGUAGCAGUGAAAUGCGUAGAGAUGCGGAGGAACACCGAUGGCGAAGGCAGCCCCCUGGGUCGACACUGACGCCUCAGGCACGAAAGCGUGGGGAGCAAACAGG